GAUGAACGCUGGCGGCGUGCCUAACACAUGCAAGUCGAACGGGGUUACACGAGUAGCAAUACUUGUGCAACCUAGUGGCGGACGGGUGAGUAACGCGUGAGCAACCUACCUUCCAGAGAGGGAUAACACAGGGAAACCUGUGCUAAUACCGCAUAAAGUACAGUGGGGGCAUCCCUGCAGUACCAAAGGAGCAAUCCGCUGGGAGAUGGGCUCGCGUCCGAUUAGGUAGUUGGUGGGGUAACGGCUCACCAAGCCGACGAUCGGUAGCCGGACUGAGAGGUUGGCCGGCCACAUUGGGACUGAGACACGGCCCAGACUCCUACGGGAGGCAGCAGUGGGGAAUAUUGGGCAAUGGGCGGAAGCCUGACCCAGCGACGCCGCGUGAGGGAAGACGGCCUUCGGUUGUAAACCGUCAGUUAUACGGACGAAGGAAGUGACGGUACCGUAAGAGAAAGACACGGCUAACUACGUG
rnacentral:rRNA from 1 species